rnacentral:rRNA from 1 species
GACAGAGGGUGCAAACGUUGCUCGGAAUCACUGGGCGUAAAGGGCGUGUAGGCGGGAGAGUAAGUCGGGCGUGAAAUCCCUAGGCUCAACCUAGGAACUGCACUCGAAACUACUUUUCUUGAGUGCCGGAGAGGAAAGCGGAAUACCUGGUGUAGAGGUGAAAUUCGUAGAUAUCAGGUGGAACACCAGUGGCGAAGGCGGCUUUCUGGACGGUAACUGACGCUGAGACGCGAAAGCGUGGGGAGCAAACAGG